rnacentral:lncRNA from 1 species
UCAAUGGAAGAGGAUCAGCUCCUGUUUCUACUGCUUCCCAUAAAUCUAAGCCUUUCAACAAGGCUUUCAUUCUCACAGCCCAAAGUUGAUAGUUGUCACCAUUGAAGACUGGUGGUGAAAGUGCUCCAGCAUUGCUUGAAGCCAUUUUCUGUUUAAAACAGGUUUUUUGGUGGGGUUUUCUCACUUGUUUUCUCUCAAUUCCACUAUCCCUCUAAGAACAAGAGAGCUCUGAUACC